rnacentral:rRNA from 1 species
CACAAGCGGUGGAGCAUUGUGGUUUAAUUCGACGCAACGCGAAGAACCUUACCAGGUCUUGACAUCCCGAUGCUAUUUCUAGAGAUAGAAAGUUACUUCGGUACAUCGGUGACAGGUGGUGCAUGGUUGUCGUCAGCUCGUGUCGUGAGAUGUUGGGUUAAGUCCCGCAACGAGCGCAACCCCUAUUGUUAGUUGCCAUCAUUCAGUUGGGCACUCUAGCGAGACUGCCGGUAAUAAACCGGAGGAAGGUGGGGAUGACGUCAAAUCAUCAUGCCCCUUAUGACCUGGGCUACACACGUGCUACAAUGGUUGGUACAACGAGUUGCGAGUCGGUGACGGCGAGCUAAUCUCUUAAAGCCAAUCUCAGUUCGGAUUGUAGGCUGCAACUCGCCUACAUGAAGUCGGAAUCGCUAGUAAUCGCGGAUCAGCACGCCGCGGUGAAUACGUUCCCGGGCCUU